UAGGUAAAUUUGGAAUAUGUGCAAAUGAAUUAAAGGUAUUAUAAGUUGUUUCAUGCUAUAGAAAUUAUACUUGAUAUAGUCUAUUAGCAUAUUUCUAAAAUUAUAUUUAAUUGGAUAGCCAUCAGAAGUGGAUCUUCUAACAAAAUAACUUGUACAUAUGCGAUUCUUAGCCAUUGGAAAAUAAUGAAGCCGUGCUGCUUAUUAAUUUGAAACACACUCACUAAAUGUUUAGAUACUAUAUCCAUAGCUUAGCACUGGUUUUAAACGUGUUUAUUUUAGAAUUAUUGGAGCACCUUCUUGGUGUUGGGCUCCAUUCUAGGUGCUGGGGAUGUGGUGUUGAACUCGACAGGCAAGAUCUUCACUCUCCUGGAGCUUAAAACAUAACAGGCAAGAUUUCACUCU